rnacentral:rRNA from 3 species
GGACUACCGGGGUAUCUAAUCCCGUUCGCUCCCCUAGCUUUCGUACCUCAGCGUCAGAAGAGACCCAGUAAGCCGCUUUCGCCACCGGUGUUCCUGAUGAUAUCAACGCAUUUCACCGCUCCACCAUCAGUUCCGCUUACCUCUGUCUCCCUCAAGCACUACAGUAUCGGGCGCAGUUCCUCGGUUGAGCCGAGGGCUUUCACACCCGACUGAUAGCGCCGCCUACGUACCCUUUAAGCCCAAUGAAUCCGAAUAACGUUUGGACGGUUCGUAUUACCGCGGCUGCUGGCAC